AAACAAUCCAGGUCAAACGUGAUGGUGUUCUGAAUGCAGAUGAUGAAAGAAUCGUGCAGAUUUUAGACCGGGAGGAAUCAAAACCUGUCCUGCAGUUUCUGGCCCAGGCAGCGGUAUAGAAUCAUCUACAAUGACUCAGAAACACCAAAUCUCAUCAGAACACUGAAAACUACAAAACAUUACAAUAAUCUGAGCGGAAGUACAAGACCUACGGGGCUGAAUUGAGAAUCACAAUUGGCAGCUGACAUGAGCUUUGCCAGUUGGAGCAGAUGGUAUGAAUAUGAUUUGGUUCUUUGCCACAACCUCCCCCUGGUAAGAGAGCAGAAUUUGUGCCAACAGAAGACUUGGAAGCUGCCUUCCUACUGCACAGAUAGAAGAUUUUCAUGGGAUCAUGGUAUACUGCUUUCUUGUCUAAAGUACUUCUCAUUACACAUAAAGUAAGAUUUUAAAGAAAGAAUGAGGGCAGAGACACUAGGAUUGAUAAAUUGUAUCCUAUGAGGUGUUAAUUUUUGUGGGCAAGAUCAGUAAGUGAGCGGCUAGCCACACUUGCUAGGGAUUGAGGGUUUUUGUUUUUGUUUUGUUUUGUUUUGUUUUCCUGAAUUCUUGUGGCAUAGUGACAGAAAAAGAUAUCAUACUGUUUUGAGACCAUUUUACCUCAUGCAAGUAGAAUUAUACCACAUAAAUAUUUCCUAGCCCAGGAAAUGGGUGUAGAAAUUCUAUCAUCAAUCUAAUGUAUGCAAACCAAGAAGCCCAGGCUUGCUUGUUUUUUUCCUUCUCUACUAAACACGGUGGUGUGUGAGCUUUCUGUUUAGAACACAAACAAAUGCCAUAAAGUGUCUUAUGCUGAAAUGGUCUUCCUUACUCCACUGGCUUGAGCCAAGCAAAUCUCUGCCAAAUUGCUGCUUGAAUAUGAAAACAUAAGGCUUCAGUCCAGCAAUUCUUUUCCGAUGCUAUCUGAGAAGUGUACCCAAUGGACAGUGAGUAAACACGGGGUAAGCCAUACAAUUUUUUUUUCUAGAAACACUGAUUAUGGUAGACAGCUCUUCAUUCCAAGAUAAGGAAACAGAAUCAAAAGUCUACAUGAGACUCAAAAAAAAGUUUAAAAUAAUAAGGAAUAAAGUAGCUAUAAGAUUCAGAGAAAGAUUCUGCCUACAAAGAUUGUUUAAUUUUCUGAAAUCAUAAAAUUAAUUAAUUAGCCUCUAUGACCACAUGGCCUAGUUCUUCCAAAUGUUAUGAAUCAUUAUUGCCUUAACUCCUGAUGUUCAGAAUCACUCAGACCUCAAAACCUUGACUUCCUCUUUCUUCUUCCUCUCACCCCUUUUCCCAUUGUUACUUCUUUUCCAUCACAGACUCCAGUGUCUCCUCCUUAACCUUAUUCUUGUGAAUAACCUCAACUUUUCUAUCUCACUAGUUGUAGUGACUUGGCUAAGGCUAUCCUAGGUCAGCUAAACCAUUUUACAAAAAAAACUAUGUAAUCAUAAAGGGCAUAAAAAUAAUCAUAUAUAUCAUAUAUCUGUAUUAUAUAUAAAUAUUUCAUAUGUAGCCUUAUACAUAUAUCACAUGAAUAUAUGUAUUCAUUUUCAUCCUCUUGCUUUUUCCAUACAGUGGAGUGGUUUUGUCAUAUCUUCUCAAUCUCUUCAACUUUUCCCUCCCUCUCAGCAUAGGACUUUACAAAUUAAAUAGUGCCCAUCAGAUGAAAGCACAUCUUACUUUCUAUCACCAAAUGUAAAAAUCAUCAGUAUUGUUAUUAGGAUUUAUUUAUUCCUUGUAGAGGAAAAAGUGUCCUUCCUGUCCAAGUAGUAACACAUAAUAGGAGCAGCACCACACCUAAGAGGACUUGGACAUUUUAAGGGAUGGCUGUUAGUUGUCAUGUUGAUGGAUGAAUGUUGCUAGCAUCUACGGGUAGUAGGUAGCAAAUGAUUUCCAUGUGGAAAUCAAAGAAACAAGAAGUUCUAAAAUGUUCAGGGCGGGGAAGUCACUUCAUUGAAAAUAUCUCCUGCCAACACUUUCAAAUAUUUCUCUAGAGUUCAAAUAGGUGAAAAAUCUGUUUCUAAUUAUGUGAGUGUGGAACAUAACUCUGAUUUAAGGGUAACCCAGCACUUUUUGCAGGUGUAUAAUAUGCUGAGUUACAGAAGUGCAACUACUAUAAACAUCAAGGGAAGUUUUAGUUACUUAUAAUAAAUAUAUAGUAUGUGAGAAAGUGAUAAAGGCUAUAGAAAAAUAAUGCAAAGUUGGGGCAUAAGAAUUCUAGGAAGAUAUUUGUAAUCUAAAUGGGUUGUCAGAAUAGGCUGAAUUGAUAAAGUGACUUUUGAGCUGGUAUUUGGGGAGGUAAUAGAUUUAGUCAUUUAUUAGUUAAGAUAUGUACAAGAAGGAAUAGCUACUAUUAGGAACCUCACAGUUCAUGACCUCUAUUGUUUAGAUAAUGAUAGCUGUCAGUAGUUCCUGGGUAUUCUUGUUGUUGUUUGUUUGUUUGCCUGGGCUGGGGAGGCAUUGGCUAUGGUGCAGAGGCUUGAUGUGAGAUCUCAGUCCCCAGACCAGAGAUUGAAUCCAGACCACAGUGGUUAAAGCACCAAAUGCCAAUCACCAGACCACCAGAGAACUUCUCAGCUCUUGUUUCUAGUAUAGUUAAUAAUAUAGUCUUGGUGUGAAAAUAGUGCAUGCCCUAAAAGGAUUUUUACAUUUAGACCAUUCAUCACUAGAAUGUGAUUUCUUUGCAAACACCAAAAUAAAUAGAGCAAGUGUUGCAAUAAAACAGUUCAUAAUAAUUAAAAUUUGAGAGGCAUUCCCUAGUUGCUCAGCAAGUUAAGGACCUGGCACUGUCACUGCUGUGACUCGAGUUGCUGCUAUGAAGGGGAUUCUAUCCCUGGUUCUGGAACUUUCAAAUGGUGCAGGCAUGGCCAAAAAAAAAAAAAAAAAAAAAAAAAAAGU
rnacentral:lncRNA from 1 species